GACGAACCGUGCGAACGUUGUUCGGAUUCACUGGGCUUAAAGGGUGCGUAGGCGGGUGAUCAAGUCCGGGGUGAAAUCCUCCAGCUCAACUGGAGAAUAGCCCUGGAUACUGGUCGUCUUGAGGAAGGUAGGGGCAUGUGGAACUUCCGGUGGAGCGGUGAAAUGCGUAGAUAUCGGAAGGAACGCCGGUGGCGAAAGCGACGUGCUGGACCUUUUCUGACGCUGAGGCACGAAAGCCAGGGGAGCAAACGGG
rnacentral:rRNA from 1 species